CUCCUACGGGAGGCAGCAGUGGGGAAUUUUUCGCAAUGGGGGCAACCCUGACGAAGCAAUGCCGCGUGAAUGAAGAAGGCCUUAGGAUUGUAAAAUUCUUUCACCGGGGACGAUAAUGACGGUACCCGGAGAAGAAGCCCCGGCUAACUUCGUGCCAGCAGCCGCGGUAAUACGAAGGGGGCUAGCGUUGCUCGGAAUUACUGGGCGUAAAGGGCGCGUAGGCGGACAUUUAAGUCAGGGGUGAAAUCCCAGAGCUCAACUCUGGAACUGCCUUUGAUACUGGGUGUCUUGAGUGUGAGAGAGGUAUGUGGAACUCCGAGUGUAGAGGUGAAAUUCGUAGAUAUUCGGAAGAACACCAGUGGCGAAGGCGACAUACUGGCUCAUUACUGACGCUGAGGCGCGAAAGCGUGGGGAGCAAACAGGAUUAGAUACCCUGGUAGUC
rnacentral:rRNA from 1 species